AUGGCGACGAGCGUGAUGGGGUCUUUCCUUGCUCCACGGGAGGCGCUGUACGCGGCGGCGGUCGCGGCCAUGGCGUGGUGCGCCGUGCGGGCGGUGGAGUGGGCGUGGUGGAGGCCCCGGCGGCUGGGCCGGGCGCUGCGGUCGCAGGGCCUCCGCGGCACGGCGUACCGCCCCGUCGCCGGCGACACGCCGAUGAUGCAACGGCUCAACAGGGAGGCCAGGUCCCGGGCCAUGCCGCUGGGGGUGGGGUGCCACGACGUGGUGCCGCGGGCGAUGCCGCUCUUCCACCGGGCCAUGCAGGAGCACGGUAAGAUGUCAAUCACUUGGUUUGGACCUGUACCCAGAGUGACCAUUACCAAGCCUGAACUGGUGCGAGAAGUUUUGUCCAACAAGUUCGGCCACUUUGAGAAGCUCAAAUUUGGCCGGCUCCAGAGGAUGCUGCACAACGGCGUGGGUAACCACGAGGGCGAGAAAUGGGCCAGGCACAGGAGGAUCAUCAACCCUGCCUUCCAUCUGGAGAAGCUCAAGCGCAUGUUGCCGGCCUUCGCAGCAUGUUGCACCGAGUUGGUGCAGAGAUGGGAGGGUCUAGCCCUAGUCGCGGGCGAUGCGCCGUGCGAGGUUGAUGUUUGGCCUGACAUGCAGAACCUGACAGGGGAUGUCAUCUCUCGCGCUGCAUUUGGCAGCAGCUACCUGGAGGGCAGGAGGGUCUUCCAGCUUCAGGGGGAGCAGCUUGAGCUCUUCUUGCUCGCCAUGACCAAGAUGCACAUCCCUGGUUACUUGUUGUUGCCUACCAAAGUCAACCGAAGGAUGAAGCAGAUCGCUGCCGAUAUCGAGAGGGUCCUCAAGGGCAUCGUCGCCAAGAGAGAGAAUGCCAUGAGAGCCGGCGAGGCCACGAGCGACGACCUUCUCGGGGUGCUGCUCGAGUCCAACAUGGCGCACUGCAGGGAUUCGAAGGGCGCCGGCAUGGGCAUCACGACCGAUGACGUGAUCGGGGAGUGCAAGUUGUUCUACUUCGCCGGCGCGGAGACCACGUCGGUGCUGCUCACAUGGACCAUGAUCCUGCUCUGCAUGCACCCGGAGUGGCAGGACCGUGCCAGGGAGGAAGUCCUGCGCGUCCUCGGCCCCACCGGCACGCCGGACCACGACGGGCUAAGCCGCCUGAAGGUGGUCACCAUGGUGCUGUACGAGGUGUUGCGGCUGUACACGCCGGUGACGGCCAUCCACCGUGAGACGUACAAGCCAAUGGAGCUCGGCGGCGUCAGGUACCCGGCGGGCGUGGUGCUCAUGCUGCCGCUGCUCUGCGUCCACCACGACAAGGAGGUGUGGGGCGCCGACGCCGACGAGUUCAGGCCGGAGAGGUUCUCCGAGGGGAUCUCCAAGGCAUCCGCCGACGCACCGGCGUUCUUCCCCUUUGGGUGGGGCCCGCGGGUGUGCAUCGGCCAGAACUUCGCGCUGCUCGAGGCCAAGAUGGGGCUCGCCAUCAUCCUGCGCCGCUUCUCCUUCCAGCUCUCGCCGGCCUACAUGCACGCGCCGUUCCCCGUCGGCAUGCUGCAGCCGCAGCACGGCGCGCAACUCAGGCUCAAGACCCUAAUUCACUGA
rnacentral:rRNA from 1 species